GUACGGGAGGCAGCAGUCGAGAAUUUUUCACAAUGGGCGAAAGCCUGAUGGAGCGACACCGCGUGGGGGAUGAAGGGUUUCGAUCCGUAAACCCCUGUCAUUUGCGAACAAACCUUCUCAUUUAAUAGAUGGGGAGUUGAUAGUAGUGAAAGAGGAAGGGACGGCUAACUCUGUGCCAGCAGCCGCGGUAAUACAGAGGUCCCAAGCGUUGUUCGGAUUCACUGGGCGUAAAGGGUGCGUAGGUGGUCGGAUAAGUUUGAUGUGAAAGCUCCGAGCUCAACUCGGAAAAGGCAUUAAAUACUAUUUGGCUGGAGGGUUGGAAGGGAGACUGGAAUUCUCGGUGUAGCAGUGAAAUGCGUAGAUAUCGAGAGGAACACCAGUGGCGAAGGCGAGUCUCUGGACAACUCCUGACACUGAGGCACGAAAGCUAGGGGAGCAAACAGGAUUAGAUACCCUGGU
rnacentral:rRNA from 1 species